rnacentral:rRNA from 1 species
UAGGGAAUCUUCGGCAAUGGGGGGCAACCCUGACCGAGCAACGCCGCGUGAGUGAAGAAGGUUUUCGGAUCGUAAAGCUCUGUUGUAAGAGAAGAACGUGUGUGAGAGUGGAGAGUUCACACAGUGACGGUAACUUACCAGAAAGGGACGGCUAACUACGUACCAG